UGUAUUAACUCAUGUAAUUGUAUUUGCUCAUAGAUGAUAUGCAUAGUACUCCCAGAACUCGUUAAGUUGGUAGUACUGUGCAUAUCAUCUAUGAGCGAAUAGGCUCAGA